GAAAUGCGAUAAGUAAUGUGAAUUGCAGAAUUCCGUGAAUCAUCGAAUCUUUGAACGCACAUUGCGCCCUCUGGCAUUCCGGGGGGCAUGCCUGUCCGAGCGUCAUUACGCACCCUCAAGCCCGGCUUGUGUGAUGGGCCCCGGCGUCUCGUUCGCGAGACGGACCCGAAAGGCAGCGGCGGCGUCGACCCGAUGAGCCCGAGCGUAUGGGGACUUCUGUCACACGUUCGCGGUGCGGACCGGCGCCUGCUUGACUUUUCUGAUUAUCCAGGUUGACCUCGGAUCAGGUAGGGAUACCCGCUGAACUUAAGC
rnacentral:misc_RNA from 1 species